AAUUCAUCGUGUAAACCCCUUGCAAUUUCCUUUUCCGGUAGACAUUAGCCAUGGACAAAUUACAGCCUAUCAAACUUGCAAAAGUUGUGAAGGUUCUUGGCAGAACAGGGUCACAGGGACAGUGUACACAGGUGCGUGUGGAGUUCCUCGAUGACAGCAACCGCUCCAUCAUCCGAAACGUGAAGGGCCCCGUAAGAGAGGGAGAUAUCCUCACACUGCUCGAG